UACUGCUUGAAAAUCAAACAGGCUUCAUUAAUACAAAACUGAUGAUGUGUAAUGAUUUAAAGAAAGUUAAAAGCAUAUAUGACAAGACUUUCAGAGUGAGAUUUACUUAAACCGCUAAAGCCACCUACACACACGUCAGUGACAUGAUACUAGCUUCUAUAAAUUGAAAUGGUAGGAGUUGAACUUGCAUGGAUAGUAUUCAAAUAAUGGGAUGCAGGUGUAAAUGGAAGCAUACCAUCUGACUGACAACCUUGGUGCUGUGAGG